rnacentral:rRNA from 1 species
UACGGGGGGGGCAAGCGUUGUUCGGAAUUACUGGGCGUAAAGGGCUCGUAGGCGGCCAACUAAGUCGGACGUGAAAUCCCCAGGCUCAACCUGGGAACUGCGUCCGAUACUGGAUGGCUUGAAUCCGGGAGAGGGAUGCAGAAUUCCAGGUGUAGCGGUGAAAUGCGUAGAUAUCUGGAGGAAUACCGGUGGCGAAGGCGGCAUCCUGGACCGGCAUUGACGCUGAGGAGCGAAAGCAAGGGGAGCAAACGGG